GACGAACGCUGGCGGCGUGCUUAACACAUGCAAGUCGAACGGAAAGACCCUGCUUUUGUGGGGUGCUUGAGUGGCGAACGGGUGAGUAACACGUGAGUAACCUGCCCUUGACUUUGGGAUAACUUCAGGAAACUGGGGCUAAUACCGGAUAGGAGCUCCUGCUGCAUGGUGGGGGUUGGAAAGUUUCGGCGGUUGGGGAUGGACUCGCGGCUUAUCAGCUUGUUGGUGGGGUAGUGGCUUACCAAGGCUUUGACGGGUAGCCGGCCUGAGAGGGUGACCGGCCACAUUGGGACUGAGAUACGGCCCAGACUCCUACGGGAGGCAGCAGUGGGGAAUAUUGCACAAUGGGCGGAAGCCUGAUGCAGCAACGCCGCGUGCGGGAUGACGGCCUUCGGGUUGUAAACCGCUUUCGCCUGUGACGAAGCGUGAGUGACGGUAAUGGGUAAAGAAGCACCGGCUAACUACGUG
rnacentral:rRNA from 1 species